UGAGUUUGGACUUUGCCGACAGUUGAAGGCAUUCUGAAGUGCCCACAAACUCAUUCCUAGCCACCAGAUAAGAACUCCUGAAUUAGAGCUGGCCCAAGAGAAUUCCAACUGCAACAUUUAAUAGCGCCCCAGAGCAAGGGAAAGGCUUUUAUAAAGGCCGUGGGAGCUAGAGGUGGGGCCUCCUAAGCCUGGGAGCAGCGAUGCCUUUUGAUGUGUGGUUUCUUGGCCGAGGGGGCUGCAGUAACAAGAUGGGAUCCUUAACCUACUUCGCCACAAGGGAACUCUCAGGUGUGGUUUCUUUCUACCAUCAGGGGUGUGUGAGCAGAAGCUGGAGACCCCUGGGUGGAAUAAGGAAGAUUUUAUCCAAAUGGCAGCUGACCUUCCUGCCCGGGCGCCCUCUUGCUGCGUCUGCCUGUCCUUGCCUUUCUGUCCUUAAUUCUGAGGGAGGAGUGUCUCAGAGGAUCCUGGAGCACAGGUGACCGGCUCCCUCCCACUGAAGCUGCUGGUGAAGACAAACCAGCGACUAGACCCGGUCAGAGGGGCUGGCGCUGCCCCACCCCCCUCUGCCAGUUGACGCCUCCUGCUAAAAACAGCGGGGCCCGGGGGAACUAUGGGCUUUCAGGCCUCCCCCUCCACGCCAGGGCAGGUAUUAAAGAGGCCGACGCCCAGCCAGGCUGACAGGACACCAUGCUCUUCACCGAGACGGCCCACUUCGUGGUGAAUUUUCUUCUGUCCCGGCGCCCCUGGGCCACUCUCCCGCACCGCCUGGACCAGUAGUUUUGUUUCUGGGGCUGCCGGGGCCCGGCCUUGCCGCCUGUCGCCACCCACCGCAGCCUGGGCGAUUACUGGCUGAGCCCGCAGCGCCUGCGCCCACCGGGCGCCACCUGGCGCUGGCCUGCUCGCAAUAUGCUGCUACUGCCAGGGGCCACCGGGCUGGCGGAUAUACCCUCGGCGCGCUGGCCCAGCUGCUACGGCGUUCGCCCGCGCCUCACGUGGAAACACCGGUGGCAGAAUAUUAACUACCAGUAUCUGGGCAAGAGGAAGAGACAUCUAGUUCCUCUGCGCCCGUGAGAGCCGCCAACAGAUAUUUAUGGAGCCCCCCUCAUUUGGAAAGUGACCUUGAGGCAGAAGAGAAUGGCUGGAGGGGCUGGACUUGUGUAGAGAGUCAAGCAAGAAGGCUGAUGAAGUAGCCCAGGUCCAGAAGAGGAGACUGAGGCUCAGAAGAGAGGGCCUAGAGCCACACAGCUGGGAAGUGACAAAGCCAACUCUUCACCCCUACAGUUGCCUCAACACAACAAUCCCUCACUGAAUCCUUGCCACAACCGGAAGUGGUACCCGAUGUCCUGGUUUUACAGCAGGUGUUGUGAUGCUCAGCAAGAGGAAGGGACUUCUCCAGGUCACAAAGCCGGAAGGUUGCAGCAGUUUGGAUCCAAAUCAUUUGGGGGGAACAGGUGAUGGGGCAAGAACAGUGUGGAGAGGAAGGGGUGGGACUGGCAACUGGACAAAAAGAGUGUUUCAGUUUUCCUUUUAAAGGGGCUUCCCCCUAAAUGGGGGAUUUUGGCUGGAAAGUUGUUAGUAAUCCACAUUCCACUGGUUUGGCCAUCUCCGCCUCAAAGGCUCCCAGGAACUGAAAAGAAACUGAAAGUUGGGAAGAGGGGAGGGGAGGAGGGAAGGGAGAGGCUGGGGACAGAGUAACUGGGUUGAGCUUCUGGUGACCUCACUGAGCCUGGGGGAGGCAGGCAGGCGAGCUGGGAUUACACACCUCUUAGCUAUUGGAGAAAUUGAGCCCCAGAGAGACACCCCUAUUUGUGGCUGGGUCCUUUGUGCAGCCACCCCCAACACACACACAGACACACACACACACAGACACACACACACACACACACACACACACAAACACACACUGCGUGGGGUCGGGGCAGGGGGAACCAGGGGAAGAGGGAGGAAAAUGGAGAAACGAAAGCUCUGGGCAGGAGUGUCCUCUGUGGUGCAAUGGAAUUGGUGGCAUCUCUGCAGUGUCAGAUUUAGGUUCAAACCCCAGCCCAGCACAGCGGGGUUAAAGGAUCCAGCAGUGCCGCAGCUACUGUAUGGCUUGGAUUUGAUCCCUGACCAGGGAACCACGAUAUUCCACAUGGUGGUCAGAAAAGAAAAUAAAAGAAAAUCUUAACAUCUUGAAAAGGAA